rnacentral:tRNA from 1 species
GCCCACGUAGCUCAGAUGGUAGAGCACUUCCUUGGUAAGGAAGAGGUGACCGGUUCGAUACCGGUCGUGGGCU